rnacentral:lncRNA from 1 species
UUCUAGAUGAGACUUUGGGCUUUAGACUUUUGGAGUUGAUGCCGGAAUGAGUUAAGACGUUUCAGUUUGGGGAGGGGAAUGGAAUGAAUGUAUUUUGAAUGUGAGAAGGACAGGAAUUUUGCAAGCCAGGGCUGGAAUGCAAUAAACUAAAUGUUUGUCUUCCUAAAAUUCAUAUGUUGAAAUCCUCUCAGUGUGAUGGUAUUAAGAUGUGGGGGCUUUAUGAGUUAACCAGAUCAUGGGGUGGAUAUUAUAAGGGAUUAGUGGCCUUAUAAAAGGGAUCCUGGAAAGCCCUCUGGCCCUGCUUCUGCCAUGUGAGGGUAACAAGAAAUCAGUCUACAACCCAGAAGAGGGCUCUCACCGGAACCUGACCAUGGGGCCACCAUCAUCUCAGGCUUCCAGCCUCCAGAACUGUUGAAAAAUAGAUUACUAUUAUUUAUAAGCCACUCAGUUUAUGCUUUUUUGUUAUAACAGCCUGAACUGAGACAAAGGGUAAAGAGUGGAUCUAAAGGGGCAAAUGAAAGAUAUUUAGUACACUGCAUAUUUUCUUUCUCUUUUUGUUAAUAUUGUAAUAGAAAUAUUUUGUCAUUGCUCUCUGGUGUGUAUGUGUGUCUACUUCUGCCAUCCUGAACUUAAACUUUAAGGGAGAUGAUGGACAGUUAUACAAAUAGUUACAAUAAAUGUGCUAACACAGGGGAGAUCAGGGGCCCCUUGAGAGCUUUAGCAGCUAGACCCGAUGAAGGCUAUGGAGUCAUAAAUGGCUCUGAAAGAAGAGAGAAUUCAACUGAUAUCCUAGGGAUGAUCAGGUAUUAGAUAGAUAGUGGAGUUGAUGGUAGUAGGUUAUGGUAAAGAGAAACUGGAAGUGAAGGAGGCUUUCAAGUUAGAUGAAGAAUUCGAAUCCUUUUGUCACUAUUUACUUGCUACCUGACCUUGGCUGAACUACCUAAGUUCUCUAUGUGAUAAUUUUUCUGUUUGUAAAGUGCUUGUAGUAAUUCCUCACAGAGGUUAUUAGAAUUAAAUGAGAAAUGCAUUUAAUUUUUAGGGGACAGUGCUUGGAAGAUGGUAAGUGCUCAAUAGGUUUUAGCUAUUGUUGUUAAUAAUGUAUAAGGAAGACCUGGGGUCUGUAGAGGGUGAUUCCCAUCAGUCGAAAUUCAUCAGAGUACACAGUGGGAGAGGGUCAGAGGCUCAACUGGAGAUGUUGAAAAAGAUAAGAAUUUGGAGAACCUGGGAUUUGGUAAUGAGUUUGGAUAUUGUUCCAAGGGCAAUGGAAAGUCUCCUUUAACCCAGGGAAGUUAUAUGAUCAGAUGUCUGUUUCAGAAAGUGCUGAAACAGACUUUUCUUUUUCUUUUCUUCCUGGGCACCCUACCAACCUACAUUUUCAAGCUCCUUUGCAGUUAGGGGCCUGGAUUCUGGCCAAGGGAAUGUAUUAGUGUAUUAGUCAGGGUUAUCCAGAGAAACAGAACUACCAGAAUGUGUGUGUGUGUGUGUGUGUGUGUGUGUGUGUGUGUGUGUAGAGAGAGGCGGGGGGAAAGAGAGAGACUGAUUUUGAGGAAUUGUCUCAAAUGAUUAUUGAGGCUGAUGAGUCCAAAAUCUGCAAUGAGGGCUAGCAGGCUGGAGACACAGGGGAGCUGAUGGCGCAGAUGAAAUCUGAAGGCAGUCAGCUGGAGAAUUCUCCCUUGCUCAUUAAGACUGCUCUUUUUGUUUUAUUCACACCUUCAACUGAUUGGUGGGGCCCACCCACAUUAUGGAGGGCAAACUGCUUUUCUCAGAGUUUACUGAUUUCAAUGUCAAACUCAUUCAGAAACACCAUGAAAAUUGACUUAUAAAAUUGACCAUGGUAGGGUAUGUUAGGCAGAAGUGAUGUGUGCCCUUCACAGACUGGGCCUUAAUCCUGUCAUCUCCAUGCCUGCUUUUGUUGCUUCUUGUCAGGUGGGAGACAGAGGAUCUGGAGUAGGAUUGUAAAUCCUGGGGGAUGAAGGAGCCACUCAAUGGAAGGAAGCUGGGUUCCCUGAAAGACUAGAUGGAAGAGAGCCUUCAUCCCACUUCCAUCUCUCAUUGAACUGUGACAUGUAUGAGAGAUAAGCAUAUGUUAUGUUAAGCUUUUGGAUUUUGGGGUUGUUCAUUAAGCUGAGAGUCAGGAAUUCCCUGGAGAAUGUUGUUGGUGUCCUGUUCUUCCUCUCCUUCUUUUUGGAAGAGAAGGGAGUAAGAAAAGAAAUGCUUGAACCUUGUGGAGUUUGAGAGAUAGAGGAAGUCUUGUUUUAACUCAUGUCUGAGGAGUCUAAAGGUGAGAGAUGCCUCUUUAACAGAGGUGCCAAGGCAGUUAGUGUAUCCUAAUGCAGUCACUCUGGCAGCAGUAAGGAGAAUGGGUCAGAGCAGUAAACACUAGACUCAGGGAGACCAGUUAGGAAUUUGUGGUUCAAGUCUAGGCAAGAGAUUAUGUUGAUCUGGGUUAGGUUGGUGCAGUGGUUAUGCAGAAGAUGCCUAAAUUAAUCAUACUGUGAUUAGUAAUAAACUGUUUACUGCCUUACCAAAUUAUCUCAGUGAAACUCCAGAUACAAUCAAAAUUGAUUGAUUAUUUGGAUUCAUUCCAUAAAAAAAGAAAACUCAUGAAAUAUAAUGAAUAAUGCUCUUUCUGGUUUUCUACUUCAGGUCCAAUUAAAAAGGAAAGCAUCUUAGGCAAAGUUGAGGUGAUAAUGCUUAACUAGGAGGCAUAUCCCAGUGCAGCAAGAGAGAAGGAAAGAUGUGAGACAGAGAAGGAUAAGAAGCAAAUUCAAGGUGAUAUACCAAGUUGGCCACUGCUCCAUUGCUCUAAGGAAAAAGUGUGCCUUAGAAUAAUCCAUCCAUCAGAAGGGGGAUUGGAGGGGAGUUCCUGUUGUGGUACAGCGGAAAUGAACCCAACUAGGAACCAUGAAGUUGUGGGUUUUAUCCCUGGCCUCGCUCAGUGGGUUAAGGAUCCGGUGUUGUCGUGAGCUGUGGUGUAGUUCGCAGAUGUGGCUUGGAUCCCGUGUUGCUGUGGCUGUGGCAUAGGCUGGUGGCUAUAGAGCUCUGAUUGGACGCUUAGCUUGGGAACCUCCAUAUGCCAUGGGUGUGGCCCUAAAAAAAGCAAAAAUAAAAAGGGGGAGGGAUUGGAAAGGAAAUUUAACCUGCCAGCUCGUUCAUGCCUACUGUCCUUCUGGGUUCAAGGUUACCCCACAGGAAACUUAUUGCAUCCUGUCCUAGAGUAUUGCUGUGAGUGAUGAAGGAAAGCAUGAGAGCCCUGGACAGGCAGAAAUCCAGGGGCGGAGGGGGGAAAUAGUAAGUGUUCUGCUUACUAUUACAUAGUAAGAGAAUAGUAAGGGUCUGCUGGAAGAGAGGCAGUUAAUGUACCUUCAUGAGAAGGUCUCUGAGGGCCUGCCCCUAAGUGCCUUUAGAAAAGAAUCAGCCUUGGAGACCAGAGGGCAGUAAAACAGGAUCAUAGCUGUAACCUGGGCCUGACCUAGCAAGAGGUGGGUGAGCAAGGAAGAGAAAGGAAGCCAACUUCAUCCUAGUUACAUACCACAGGCCUGAAAGGGGGGAAGUUAUCACUUGAAAUGAAAGUUUCAGUUAUGUGAUUAGACUGGACUGGACUUGACUUUUAAAAAUUUGAAUGAGACUGGAGGACUUUAGCUGAGCAAGGCCAAAACAAAACAAAACAAAACAAAACAAAAAAUGGGAAAAGCAAAGCAACAAUAUUUGUUUGUUAUUUUGCCCAGAGUGGACAUUAAUGAGUCCAGAGAGCAAAUUAAAAAGUCUUUUUUAAAAAAAUAUUUUUUGUACACCAUCAUGUUCACCUUAUAAAUCAAUCAGGUGUACCCUUAACCAUUCUUCUAUAUUGCCAAGAAAAUCUUCCUCAUUUAGCUCUGUUAAAAUGCUGCAUAAGGGGAGUUCCUCUAGUGGCGCAGUGGAAACAAAUCCCACUAGUAUCCAUGAGGAUGCGGGUUCAAUCCCUGGCCUUGUCCAAUGGGUUGGGGAUCCAGUGUUGCGGUGAGCUGUGAUAUAGGUCACAGACAUGCCUCAGAUCCCGUGUUGCUGUGCUGUGGUGUAGGCUGGAAGUUGCAGCUCCCAUUGGACCCCUAGCCCAGGAACUUCCGUAUGCUGCAGGUGCAGCCCUAAAAAGUAAAAAAAAAAAAAAAAA